UACGGGCAGCAGUGAGGAAUAUUGGUCAAUGGACGAGAGUCUGAACCAGCCAAGUAGCGUGCAGGAUGACUGCCCUAUGGGUUGUAAACUGCUUUUAUGCGGGAAUAAAGUCAGGUACGUGUACCUGUUUGUAUGUACCGCAUGAAUAAGGACCGGCUAAUUCCGUGCCAGCAGCCGCGGUAAU
rnacentral:rRNA from 1 species